ACGCUCGAGUCGGCCGGCGGGGUGUUCAGGCUCGGCUUCUUCGUCCCGCCCGGCAGCUCCAACGGCAGGGCCUACCUCGGCAUCUGGUACGCCACCAUCCCGGAGCAGACCGUCGUGUGGGUCGCCAAUCGCCGGAAUCCGGUCGUCAGACCUCCCGCCGUCCUCACUCUCUCUGCCGAUGGCCGGCUUGUGAUCCUCGACGGCCGUAACGCCACCGUGUGGUCCUCCGACGACGCUGCCGGCUCGGGCGGCGUAGCCACCCGCGCCACCGCGCAGCUGCUCGACAACGGCGACCUGGUCGUGACCCACGGCGGGGAGAGUCAAAGUGGAUUGACGACGGGUCGGACCGGCGUGGCGUGGGAGAGCUUCGACUACCCGACGGACACGCUGCUCCCCGGCAUGAAGCUCAGGGUGGACGGCAGGAGCGGCAUCUCCAGGAACACCACGUCGUGGCGCAGCGCGGCCGACCCCUCGCCGGGGGCCUACACGUUCAAGCUCGUCAGCGGCGGCCUGCCCGAGUUCUUCCUCUUCCGGGGCCUGUCCAAGUCGUACGCCAGCGGGCCGUGGAACGGCGCGGAGCUCACCGGCGUGCCCAACCUCAAGUCCAGGGACUUCAUCUUCACGGUCCUGUCCAACCCCGACGAGACCUACUACACCUACUACGUCAGCGACCCGUUGGUGCUAUCGCGCUUCGUGCUCAACGACACCAUGGGGCAGGUGCAGCGCUUCUCGUGGCACCGGAGCGGCGGCGGAGGCGGCUGGAGUGGCUUCUGGCACUUCCCGCUCAACCCGUGCGACGGCUACACCAGGUGCGGGGCGUUCGGGUACUGCGACGUCGGCCAGUCCCCGCUGUGCAGCUGCCUGCCGGGGUUCCGGCCGCGGUCGCCUUAGCGGUGGAGCCUCGGGGACGGCUCCGGCGGCUGCGUCAGGACGACCAACCUGAGAGGAGGAAGAAGAACGGCUGUGGGCCCCACCUGUCAUAACGGUCAACUUAACGGUCAAACUAAACAGAGUUGA
rnacentral:rRNA from 1 species